CUUUGGUGGCGACCGGCGCACGGGUGCGUAACGCAUAUGCAACCUACCUUUAACAGGGGCAUAACACUGAGAAAUUGGUACUAAUUCCCCAUAACAUUCGAGAAGGCAUCUUCUUGGGUUAAAAACUCCGGUGGUUAAAGAUGGGCAUGCGUUGUAUUAGCUAGUUGGUGAGGUAACGGCUCACCAAGGCAACGAUACAUAGGGGGACUGAGAGGUUAACCCCCCACAUUGGUACUGAGACACGGACCAA
rnacentral:rRNA from 1 species